rnacentral:pre_miRNA from 1 species
GCAGGCAUCUAUCCAGCCUACACGUAGGUGAUGAAAUCUGCAGGCUGGUUAGAUGGUUGUC